rnacentral:lncRNA from 1 species
CGGGGCUAUCCCGGCCCUCCCGGCCCUCGGGGGCUGCUGGGGGAGCGCGGAGUGCCGGGAAUGCCGGGCCCGCGGGGCACAGCCGGCCGGGAUGCUGGGGACCAGCACAUCGUGGACGUGGUGCUGAAGAUGCUGCAAGAGCAGCUGGCAGAGGUGGCCGUGAGCGCCAGGAGAGCCGCCCUGGGCGGGGUCGGGGCCGUGGGACCCCCCG